CAAUAUAUAUCUAUUUUUAAACAAAAUUUUUACAAUUAAUAAUGUUUUAUUUCUUAAUUUUUAACAAUGAGAGAAACAAAGAUGUAUCAUUACCUGUUCCAAAUACCUUUGCCCAUCAGCUGCAGGGACCAUCUUGUGAUGGAAUGCAAGAAACUUUUAUAAGCAUUUUUCAAUUAUAGAUACAAAAAAUUUGGUUAAUACUUCAAAUAAUUUUUUUUAUCAGAGAAAUAUCUAUAGCAUUUGGGUAAAUUAUCCAAUUAAUAUUACACAUAAAUGGUAUUUCUAAGGACAUUGCACUGUUUUUCUAUUUGCUAGACUUAUAGUACUAUUCUUUUCUAGUUUUAAAAUGCACUAUUUCAGUUAGAAAAGAAUUGUGGCAGAAUCGCAGCGACAUUGUCACAGAAACGUUACAGAGUUCUUGCAGAAAGAAUUUUUCUUCAGAAAGUUAAAGUAUCUCCGUGUUAUCAAACAUUGAAUGUACACUGGUAGUUACCAUCUACUAGUUAUGAGAAACACAAAGAAAUAGCUAUUGUCCUGAAUUCUAUAUCCCCACGACUUAGGGCAUAAACAAGAAAUAACGCAGAAAACAAAUGCAAAGACAAAACAGGUGAAUAAAUAAACUAAACAGAAUGACCGAAGUCAUUGCCCUUAAAGUUCUCUGGCUUGCCAAUAAAGCGACGAUUCAGAGCCGGAAUGCAAUGCAGCACAGCGGCGGAGGUGGUCCUAUUCAUGGGCUCUGCCAAGUUGCAGAGCAGACAGUCAGGUGAAUUUAGAAUACCGAUGCGGUGCAAGUGUUCAGCCAGACAGUCGUGGCUCGUUAGGAAAUUGUCUAAAGUUAAUUAUAAAAUAAUGGAUAACGCUUGACCGAUUGGAAAAUUUCAUUUGGUUUUUCACUCAAUGAUGUUGGCGUUUUCGCUCAACGGGCUUUCUUUGUGCUUCGAAUUUUUUGCAUGCCAUAUUGCUGUUUAGAUGAUUUAGCAGUCUAUAAAAGACGCAUAACGGACAGGCAUUCAUUUAUGCAUGCAAAUAGAUUAAAUAUUUAUGAAAUGUAGUUUUCUGAUUAUAUUUUUUGUUUCUCUUGUAACUCCUGUCAUCUUUUAUUUUUAAAGUUUUAAUUUUUUUAUUUACAUAAAUUUGUAUUUUAAUUUAUGGGGAAAAAUAUGUAAAAAUUUACCAUAUUUUUGUGUUCUUUUUUUAAUAUAAUCCUUAUUUUCACAAAUUAUGUCUACAUUUUCUCAAAGUAAGUACUUCUCAUAAAAACCUAGAAAGACCACUGAUAUUUUAGUUCUCCUACAAGGAAACACUUUAUGGUAUUUGGCGAAACAAUUUACUGUCCAGGGAAAAUUUGAUAAAAAUUCUCCUAUUACUGCCAGAAAACUGAUUUGUUUGAAAAGAUAAAUAGAUCUUAAAUAUCAUUUAGAUUGUUUUAUUGUUAAUGUAUUAUUUUUUAAAUAAGAAGAAAAAAACAGCUAUAUUUAAUGGAAAUAUUUUU